rnacentral:rRNA from 1 species
UCAAGUGACUAAGUGCAUGUGGCGGAUGCCUUGGCGAUCACAGGCGAAGAAAGACGCGGCAGCCUGCGAAAAGCUGCGGGGAGCUGGCAAACGAGCUUUGAUCCGCAGAUAUCUGAAUGGGGGAACCCACACCGCAAGGUGUAUCCGUGGCUGAAUACAUAGGUUACGGAGGCGAACGAGGAGAACUGAAACAUCUAAGUAUCCUCAGGAAAAGAAAUCAACCGAGAUUCCGGCAGUAGCGGCGAGCGAACCCGGAGGAGCCUAGCUUUUGAUAGUACGAACUUUAGCCGAAAGGUCCUGGAAAGGCCUGCUAUAGUGGGUGAUAGCCCCGUAGGCGAAAGAGUUGGUACGGUACUAAGGAAGCGAGAAGUAGAGCGGGACACGUGGAAUCCUGUUCGAAGACGGGGGGACCAUCCUCCAAGGCUAAAUACUCGUGAUCGACCGAUAGUGAACCAGUACCGUGAGGGAAAGGCGAAAAGAACCCCGGGAGGGGAGUGAAAUAGAACCUGAAACCGCAUGCAUACAAACAGUAGGAGCCUCGUCAGAGGUGACUGCGUACCUUUUGCAUAAUGGGUCAGCGACUUACAUUCUGUGGCGAGCUUAACCGAAUAGGGGAGGCGCAGCGAAAGCGAGUUCGAAAUGAGCGUUCAGUCGCAGGGUGUAGACCCGAAACCAGAUGAGCUAUCCAUGGCCAGGUUGAAGGUGUGGUAACACACACUGGAGGACCGAACCGACUAGUGUUGCAAAAUUAGCGGAUGAGCUGUGGAUAGGGGUGAAAGGCCAAACAAAUCUGGAGAUAGCUGGUUCUCCCCGAAAACUAUUGAGGUAGUGCCUCGUGUGUCGCUCCAGGGGGUAGAGCACUGUUUUGGCUAGGGGGACAUGGAGUCUUACCAAACCAAGGCAAACUCCGAAUACCUGGAAGCGUGAGCACGGGAGACAGAGCACCGGGUGCUAACGUCCGGACUCAAAAGGGAAACAACCCAGACCGCCGGCUAAGGUCCCAAAUAACAGCUAAGUGGAAAACGAAGUGGAAAGGCCGUGACAACCAGGAAGUUGGCUUAGAAGCAGCCAUCCUUCAAAGAAAGCGUAAUAGCUCACUGGUCGAGUCCUUCUGCGCGGAAGAUGUAACGGGGCUAAGCUGUUAACCGAAGCCGCGGAUGCACUGGUUAUCCAGUGCGUGGUAGGGGAGCGUUCUGUAAGUCUGCGAAGGCGGUUCGAGAGGACUGCUGGAGAUAUCAGAAGUGCGAAUGCUGACAUGAGUAACGUUAAAGCAGGUGAAAAGCCUGCUCGCCGUAAGCCCAAGGAUUCCUGCUCUACGUUCAUCGGAGCAGGGUGAGUCGGCUCCUAAGGUCAGGCCGAAAGGCGUAGCCGAUGGGAAUCAGGUUAAUAUUCCUGAACCUGCGUCAGAUGCGAUGGGGGGACGGAGCAUGGAAGAUCAUCCGGGUGUUGGAAGUCCCGGUUGUUGAGCGUAGGAGGUCUGCAGGCAAAUCCGCAGACGCAUCUCCAAGGCAAAGACACGUGCCGCCACGGCGGCGAAGUGAUCGGAAGUGCUUCCAAGAAAAGCCUCUAAGCACCAGUCUGACGCGGACCGUACCGCAAACCGACACUGGUGGGCGAGCUGAAUAUGCUCAGGCGCUUGAGAGAACUCGGGAGAAGGAACUCGGCAAAUUGACACCGUAACUUCGGAAGAAGGUGUGCCGUAGUACCGUGAGAGGAGAGACACCUUGAGCGGGAAACGGUCUCAGAGAAUAGGUGGCUGCGACUGUUUAUUAAAAACACAGCACUCUGCAAAGUCGAAAGACGACGUAUAGGGUGUGAUGCCUGCCCGGUGCUGGAAGAUUAAUUGAUGGGGUGAGAGCCCUUGAUCGAAGUCCCAGUAAACGGCGGCCGUAACUAUAACGGUCCUAAGGUAGCGAAAUUCCUUGUCGGGUAAGUUCCGACCUGCACGAAUGGCAUAACGAUGGCCACACUGUCUCCUCCCGAGACUCAGUGAAGUUGAAAUGUUUGUGAUGAUGCAAUCUACCCGCGGCUAGACGGAAAGACCCCAUGAACCUUUACUGCAGCUUUGCAUUGAACUGUGAACCGAUUUGUGUAGGAUAGGUGGGAGGCAGAGAAGAGGCCACGCCAGUGGUCUUGGAGCCGACCUUGAAAUACCACCCUGAUUUGUUUGCGGUUCUAACCACGGACAGUGAUCCUGUCUUGGGACCGUGCAUGGUAGGCAGUUUGACUGGGGCGGUCUCCUCCUAAAGGGUAA